GCGGGUGUGGUGUAAACGGGGAACAUACAUGGUUUUGCCCAUGUGGAUGAGGGUUCGAGUCCCUUCACCUGCU
rfam:Erwinia phage phiEa21-4, complete genome.